rnacentral:pre_miRNA from 1 species
GCCUAUGGAUGAGCAAAGAAAGUGGUUUCUUGAGAUGGAAUCCACUCGUGGUGAAGAUGCUGUGGA